rnacentral:rRNA from 1 species
ACAGCAGCAGCCGCGGUAAUACAGAGGGUGCGAGCGUUAAUCGGAUUUACUGGGCGUAAAGCGUGCGUAGGCGGCUUCUUAAGUCGGAUGUGAAAUCCCUGAGCUUAACUUAGGAAUUGCAUUCGAUACUGGGAAGCUAGAGUAUGGGAGAGGAUGGUAGAAUUCUAGGUGUAGCGGUGAAAUGCGUAGAGAUCUGGAGGAAUACCGAUGGCGAAGGCAGCCAUCUGGCCUAAUACUGACGCUGAGGUACGAAAGCAUGGGGAGCAAACAGGAUUAGAUACCCCCGUAGUCCCUGUCUCUUAUAA